GACGAACGCUGGCGGCGUGCUUAACACAUGCAAGUCGAACGGAAAGGCCCUGCUUGCAGGGUACUCGAGUGGCGAACGGGUGAGUAACACGUGGGUGAUCUGCCCUGCACUUCGGGAUAAGCCUGGGAAACUGGGUCUAAUACCGGAUAGGAGCCAUUUUUAGUGUGAUGGUUGGAAAGUUUUUUCGGUGUAGGAUGAGCUCGCGGCCUAUCAGCUUGUUGGUGGGGUAAUGGCCUACCAAGGCGGCGACGGGUAGCCGGCCUGAGAGGGUGGACGGCCACAUUGGGACUGAGAGACGGCCCAGACUCCUACGGGAGGCAGCAGUGGGGAAUAUUGCACAAUGGGCGCAAGCCUGAUGCAGCGACGCCGCGUGGGGGAUGACGGCCUUCGGGUUGUAAACGCCUUUCGCUAGGGACGAAGCUUUUUGUGACGGUACCUAGAGAAGAAGCACCGGCUAACUACGUG
rnacentral:rRNA from 1 species